CGUGCAGGAGGCGGCGGCUACGACGGAGACGGCUGCGCUUGCUCUCUCGGCGUUAUGGCGGCUGCCGGGAGCCGAUAAGUGGCGGGAGCGGGAGCGCGCGCGUGGCUGCGGCGACGACGACGGCUCCUUCCUUCUCGCUCUAGCUGCCCUCGCCGUUGGUGCUUCCAUCAUGAAUGGAUUAUGGGAUCCGCUCCACAGGGGGUCGCGCGUGGGAGCCGCGGGCCGGGGCUUCCCCCUCCCCCUCACGGACUCCUGCUUCCCCCCAGACGCCCGGAGCCCGAGGACUCACCCGGCGGCGGAGACCUGAGUGGGCUCCCUCUGCCCCCGCGAAGCCUGCACGGCCGCCGGUGAAUCAAAAAGGGUCCCAGGAAACCUGUGAAUGUUGAAGAAAAUUCGUCUGUGAAUUUUUGGUAUUCAAGGAGGAGUCAGUAUUUAUAUUCAUCUUUUAAACUGGGAAGAUUUAUAUUUUAUUUUAAAACUUCUUGAUCUUUACAAUGAAUGGACACAGUGAUGAAGAAAGUGUUAGAAACAGUAGUGGAGAAUCAAGUUUGUUAGUAUUGUUAGUUAAUAUUGUGAGUAGUGCUAGCAGUAGGUCACCAUGCUGCAAGGCCUCAAGGCCAUCUCUGCUGAUAAGGAGACCCAUAUGGACAGUUACUGGUGCCUCAAGACAUUGGCCAGUGCAGCUUUGCUAAAGUGAAGUUGGCCCAGCACAUACAUCCUGACUGAGACAGAGGUGGCCAUGAAGGUUAUCAACUAGAGUUAGUAGAGCUCUUUCAGCCUCCAGAGACUGUUCUGUGAAUCACCUCAACAUGGCAAAACUAUGCGAAGUGAUUGAUUCAGUGGAAUCGCUAUACCUGGUCAUGGAGUACAUUAGCAAAGGAGAGGUGUUCCAUCAUCUAUUGGACCACGAUGACAUGAAAGAGAAAGAGGCCUGAGGCAAAUUCUGGCAGAUAAUGUCUUCUGUGCAGUACUACCACCAGAAGGGCAUUGCCCACAGGGACCUAAUGGCAGAGAACCUGCUUUUCGAUGCUGACCUGAUCAUAAAAAUGCCAGACCUUGGCUUAAGCAAUGAGUUUACCUUUGGAACAAACUGGAUUCCUUCUGUGGCAGUCCCCCUCGUGCUGCCCUAGAAUGAUGGAUGUGUGAAGUCCGCAGUCAUCUUCUUACACGUUCACUGGGUCCCUACCUUUCAAUGGACAGAACUUCAGGGAGCUGCACUAA